rnacentral:rRNA from 1 species
AGGCCUCUUCGGAGGUACUCGAGUGGCGAACGGGUGAGUAACACGUGGGUAAUCUGCCCUGCACUUCGGGAUAAGCUUGGGAAACUGGGUCUAAUACCGGAUAUGACCUCGGGACGCAUGUCCCCUGGUGGAAAGCUUUUGCGGUGUGGGAUGGGCCCGCGGCCUAUCAGCUUGUUGGUGGGGUGACGGCCUACCAAGGCGACGACGGGUAGCCGGCCUGAGAGGGUGUCCGGCCACACUGGGACUGAGAUACGGCCCAGACUCCUACGGGAGGCAGCAGUGGGGAAUAUUGCACAAUGGGCGCAAGCCUGAUGCAGCGACGCCGCGUGGGGGAUGACGGCCUUCGGG